CAGUCGCCACGGUAAUACGAAGGGGGCUAGCGUUGCUCGGAAUGACUGGGCGUAAAGGGCGCGUAGGCGGAUCUUUAAGUCAGGGGUGAAAUCCCAAGGCUCAACCUUGGAACUGCCUUUGAUACUGAUUGUCUUGAGUUCGAGAGAGGUAAGUGGAACUGCGAGUGUAGAGGUGAAAUUCGUAGAUAUUCGGGAGAACACCAGUGGCGAAGGCGACACGCUGGCUCAUUACUGACGCUGAGGCUCGAAAGCGUGGGGAGCAAACAGGAUUAGAUACCCGCGUAGUCCCUGUCUCUUAUAC
rnacentral:rRNA from 1 species